rnacentral:rRNA from 1 species
AAAUUAAAUUUGGUUUUAAAGAAAAAUUAUCUAGUUUUUUUAUACAAUUUUUUAAAAAACAUUUAGUAGAAAAUUUAUUUUAUUUAAUAAUAAAAAAUUAUUAAGAAUUAGAAAUAAAUUCUAGCUAAAUUUGUGCCAGCAGCAGCGGUUAAACAAAUAGAAAGUUUCUUUUUUUAAUUUAAUUUAAAAAUAAAUUAAAUAUAUUUGUUAAAAAUAAAGGUGAAAUUUUUUUUUAAGUUAAAAUUUAAUAUAAAAUUAAAAUUCUUGUAAUAAACUAGGAUUAGAUACCCUAUUAUUAAAGAGCUAUAAAUUGUAAGUAAAUAAUAAUUAUGAAAGCAAAAAAUUAUGGCGGUAUUUUAAGCUUUUCAGAGGAAUUUGCUCUUUAAUGGAUAAAACACCUUAAUCUUACUUAAAUUUGUUAAAUCAGUUUGUAUACCACUAUGAAAUUAAUUAAUUAUUUUAAUUAAUAAAAUUUAUUAAUAUUUUAAAAAAAAUUAAGUCAAGGUGCAGCAAAAAUUUAAGAAUGAAGUGAAUUACAUUUCUUUUAAGAAACCAGUAAAAUUAAAAUUAUUUUUAGGAUUUGAAAGUAAAAUUAAAAUAGAAUGUUAAUUUGAAUUAAGCUCUAAAAUAUGUACAUAUCGCCCGUCACUCUUUACUAAGAUAAGUCGUAACAAAGUUAAAAUACUGGAAAGUGUUUU